UCCAAACCUCAGCAUAGCUGUAAGACUUCAGGUGUCUGUGAGCAUGACUCUCCUUUGGCUGUUUCCUGCCUAUUUUAGUUAAAAAGAGCAUCAUGAGACAGCAUUGUCCCUAACCCUAACUGGAGUCUAGGUGACUUCCACCUUCUGAAAUAGUGAGCAGAUGUGCCUGUCCUUGGGCUUCAAAACUGGGUGCUGCAUUCUUCAGCAGUAGUUCUGAGCUGGAACCUGGAGCGCACCAAGGAAGGGGAGAAGAAAGUGAAGGAAGCAGAAACCACCUAAAAGCAUUGAAGGAGAGAUGGGAAGACUGAACAUCAAACGUCCUGCCUUUCUCAAGGAACUGCAAGUGGGGUACCAUUCUAGACUGAUUUAAUAGCUGUUACUGGAUGACAGUAAUGAAAGUAAUUCAAGAUUAGUGCUUUUGGAGUGAGCACUUCCGGGUUUUUAAAAGAAUGCCUUUGGAGCUUAAAGAACUUAUUUAGGAAAGGAGCCUCGGUGAAGAAGAGGGGUUCUCAGUGUGAUACCCUCUGCGCCCAGCGAAGAUUUGCAAGUCAAACCUCAUUUGCAUCUAAUUUCUCAGAAUACAAGUCACAACAGAUUACUUCGAGGCGAAAAAUUCUAAAGGCUCUUGGAAAUCUCUUUGAUUACACCAGGACAAAGAAAACCAAGGAAGGAAAUAAAGUGGGAUUUAAAACCAAGCCCUACAUGUGAAUGUACAGGAGUUGACACAUCGACAGGAAUUCUAGUGAAGGACCAUGGACCAUCAUGCUCCGCCCAUUUUGACUCAAUAUGCUAAUGACAUGUUAGAUGAGCUCCCUUCAGGCCUGUUCCCUGGCUCCUGGCUAGGGAACACCAGCAAAAUGUGAUGAUGCAAAAAAAUGAUACAUACUUUUAAUGCUAGCCCUGGGCUAGCUGAGGCAGAGGAUCAAGUUGGAGGCCAGCCUGGGCUUCAUAGCACAAUCCUGUCUCCAAAAGGAAACAAAAAAGACCAGUGACACGGUAGACGUACGAUCAUGGAUGGACGACUCAGCUUUCACACCAUCGCUUUCAAGCCUGUUACCCGUGCUCCAUCCCUUACAGCUGGGUCUCAGCUAGCAGGAGAUGAGAGGGUGUGAGGACAACAUGCCCCAUGCUUUAAGGUUGCCUUUCCACUGUGUAUCCUAGUCAUAAACCUGGGUUACCUGGUCUCAGCUUGUUACAAGGAAUGUUAGGAAAUGUGGCCUUUUUCUCUGGUCAGUAUGGCUUUAAAAACCUCCAUAAAUACACAAUACACCAUAAAUAUACAAACA